GAUGAACGCUGGCGGCGUGCCUAAUACAUGCAAGUCGAGCGGAAGUUGGAGAGCUUGCUCUUCAACUUUAGCGGCGGACGGGUGAGUAACACGUGGGCAACCUGCCCUGCAGAUCGGGAUAACUCCGGGAAACCGGUGCUAAUACCGAAUAGUUUUCGCCACCUCCUGGUGGCGUACGGAAAGACGGUUUCGUCUGUCACUGCAGGAUGGGCCCGCGGCGCAUUAGCUAGUUGGUGGGGUAACGGCCCACCAAGGCGACGAUGCGUAGCCGACCUGAGAGGGAGAUCGGCCACACUGGGACUGAGCAACGGCCCAGACUCCUACGGGAGGCAGCAGUAGGGAAUCUUCCGCAAUGGACGAAAGUCUGACGGAGCAACGCCGCGUGAGUGACGAAGGUUUUCGGAUCGUAAAACUCUGUUGUGAGGGAAGAACAAGUACCAACUAACUACUGGUACCUUGACGGUACCUCACCAGAAAGCCACGGCUAACUACGUGCCAGCAGCCGCCGUAA
rnacentral:rRNA from 1 species